GACGAACGCUGGCGGCGUGCUUAACACAUGCAAGUCGAGCGGUAAGGCCCCUUCGGGGGUACACGAGCGGCGAACGGGUGAGUAACACGUGAGCAAUCUGCCCUUCACUUUGGGAUAACUCUGGGAAACGAGAGCUAAUACCGAAUACGACCACUUCAGGCAUCUGAUGGUGGUGGAAAGUUCCGGCGGUGAAGGAUGAGCUCGCGGCCUAUCAGCUAGUUGGUGGAGUAACGGCCCACCAAGGCUUCGACGGGUAGCCGGCCUGAGAGGGUGACCGGCCACACUGGGACUGAGACACGGCCCAGACUCCUACGGGAGGCAGCAGUGGGAAUAUUGGACAAUGGGCGAAAGCCUGAUCCAGCAACGCCGCGUGAGGGAUGACGGCCUUC
rnacentral:rRNA from 1 species